CCUACGGGUGGCUGCAGUGGGGAAUAUUGGACAAUGGGGGGAACCCUGAUCCAGCGACGCCGCGUGAGUGAAGAAGUAUUUCGGUAUGUAAAGCUCUAUCAGCAGGGAAGAAAAUGACGGUACCUGACUAAGAAGCCCCGGCUAACUACGUGCCAGCAGCCGCGGUAAUACGUAGGGGGCAAGCGUUAUCCGGAUUUACUGGGUGUAAAGGGAGCGGCGAAGGUGCAGCAAGUCUGAUGUGAAAGGUCGGGGCCCAACCCCGGGCAUGCAUUGGAAACUGUUGAAAUUGAGGACAGGAGAGGUAAGCGGAAUGCCGAGGGUAGCGGUGAAAUGCGUAGAUAUUAGGAGGAACACCAGUGGCGAAGGCGGCUUACUGGACUGUAACUGACGUUGAGGCUCGAAAGCGUGGGGAGCAAACAGGAUUAGAUACCCCAGUAGGC
rnacentral:rRNA from 1 species